rfam:Oryza nivara chromosome 2, whole genome shotgun sequence.
UCCAACAAACCUGGGUUUCCGUGUCCAACUUUGACUGUCCGUCUUAUAUGAAAUUUUUUUAUAAUUCGUAUUUUCAUUGUUGUUAGACGAUAAAACAUGAUUAAUAUUUUAUGUGUGACUUGUCUUUUUAAUUUUUUUCAUAAUUUUUUUAAAUAAGACGGACGUUGGACAUGGAAACCAGUGUUUGUCUUUUUU